rnacentral:rRNA from 1 species
UGACCUCGGAUCAGAUGUGAUUACCCGCUGAACUUAAGCAUAUCACUAAGCGGAGGAAAAGAAACUAACAAGGAUUCCCUUAGUAACUGCGAGUGAACAGGGAUUAGCCCAGCACCGAAGCCUGUGGUUAUUUGACUACUAGGCAAUGUGGUGUUUAGGUUGGUUCUUGGCAUUACUGCUCUACCCUAAGUCCAGCAAUGAGUACGGCUUACUAGUCUGGCCCAUAGAGGGUGAAAGGCCCGUGGGGGUGGAGAUCAAGUGUGUCAGUUUUGCUCUGAGCUAACCUUGGAGUCGGGUUGUUUGUGAAU